rnacentral:tRNA from 1 species
GGGAAGGUGGCUCAGUGGUAGAGCGCUUGCCUAACACGCAUGAAUUCAGCCCUGGGUUCCAUUCCU